rnacentral:rRNA from 1 species
GGUACGACUCUCGGCAACGGAUAUCUCGGCUCUCGCAUCGACGAAGAAUGUAGCAAAAUGCGAUAUGUGGUGCGAAUUGCAGAAUCCCGCAAACCAUUGAGUCUUCAAACGCAAGUUGCGCUCAAGGCCAUUCGACCGAGGGCACGCCUGCCUGGGCGCCAACC